rnacentral:lncRNA from 1 species
ACGGGACACCUGCAUCUGCCAACAAGACUGGAAGCAGGUUGGCGCAUGGACAUUUUCCCAGAAAGGGACAGAGACGGCGAAGUUUGACGGUCUGGAAAGCAGAGACCAGCAGGGCUGACUGCUUGGGAGGAGGAGAAUGCUAUUUAUUUCAGCACCAAAUAUCCGGACAGCGCCUCUCGGGAGGUCCGAGAAGAGAACCGCGAUCUGUUUCAGCACCGGGGCUCAGGACAGUUCCCAGCGGGCUCCGUUUCGUCUCCAGAACCCUGGACAGCUCCUCCAGCUUGGAAUGCACUCCCUCCACCUCCAACCAGAGCUCCCCACAACUGACCCUGCCUUCUUCUGCAAGCUCCAUUUCAUCAAGGGAAACGAUCCUUAUUGCCUCACCAUUUCCCACGUGAAGUCUGUAUUGACAUUCUCAUAGACCUGGGAUAUUGUGUCUGCAGCACAUAGUCCAAUUAUUUUCAUGUUAUCUACUGACAGGUCUAUUUGUCUCCCUGUUACACUGUGAGCUCCGUGAGGGCAGAAACAAUGUUAGUAUUUUCACUGCUGUGUCCCCAGCGCCUGGUCCGGGGCCCGGCACACAGCAGGCAUAUAAUAAGCAUGUGUUGAAUCAAUAAAGGCAUCAAAGAAUAAACCAAUACAUCAAUCAAUAAA